rnacentral:rRNA from 1 species
AUUGACCGCUGGCGGCAGGCCUAACACAUGCAAGUCGAACGGCAGCACAGAAGAGCUUGCUCUUUGGGUGGCGAGUGGCGGACGGGUGAGUAAUGUCUGGGAAACUGCCCGAUGGAGGGGGAUAACUACUGGAAAUGGUAGCUAAUACCGCAUAACGUCGCAAGACCAAAGUGGGGGACCUUCGGGCCUCACACCAUCGGAUGUGCCCAGAUGGGAUUAGCUAGUAGGUGGGGUAAUGGCUCACCUAGGCGACGAUCCCUAGCUGGUCUGAGAGGAUGACCAGCCACACUGGAACUGAGACACGGUCCAGACUCCUACGGGAGGCAGCAGUGGGGAAUAUUGCACAAUGGGCGCAAGCCUGAUGCAGCCAUGCCGCGUGUAUGAAGAAGGCCUUCGGGUUGUAAAGUACUUUCAGCGGGGAGGAAGGCGGUGAGGUUAAUAACCUUGCCGAUUGACGUUACCCGCAGAAGAAGCACCGGUUAACUCCGUGCCAGCAGCCGCAGUAA